rnacentral:lncRNA from 1 species
AGAAUCUGUUCUUUUUGUUACAGAACAGAUGUCUGGGAGGUUUUUGGCAGGCCCCACUCUGUCAAACAGUCCAGUUUUGACAGUUACUUGCUUGAGGGAUGGCUGAAAUGCAAAGUAUUUCUGAUCAGAAUAUCAUAUUCAUCUGGAUGUUAAUUACUGAGUCUGCCUUGGUAUAAAUAAUUAAUUAUGCAAAACCCACACAGCUGCUGCUGGACAGAAUUAAGUGACUUGCUGACAGUUUCACAAUUUUGGCAAGGAAAAGGGGGGUUAGAAAAACAUGCUCUGUCACGGAGGGUGGGGCUCGUCACGGUCCUUGUGUGAUCUGAAGAAAGUCACUCUAACUAAGCAGGGUGUGUGGGUGUGUUUCACAUCAAUGAAUGGUAUCUCCUGAUUUGUAUGAGUUGGUCCUAAAAGCAGUUCCUUUUUCGAGCUGUGCAGUGUCUUCCUAGGAGUCUAGACCCACACCAGAAGUUCAAUGUCAUCGCAUCUGUAAAGCUCAACUCUGGCUCCUGGGGCGCGACAUUCAGGUCACGCUGAGGUUUGGACCGAGACGAUGUUGGCACCAGGCUGGCAAUAUUGGGGCGCUGAUGACCUGUCCUGUAGUUAUCAUCUCAGAGUGCAACCAGAACCGGAGGCCACAAUCAGACAACCUAGUGAGUUUCCAGGAAGCUGGUUGAAGAAGAGAUAUCAAGAGCAUGAGAAUUAACUGCUGAAAGCAGACAGGGAAGCUUUUGGAUCGAACUUGGGUUUAUUUAAGUUUUUCAUUUUAACACCAUAUUUAAAAAAAUCAAUUCAACUUAUCAAUUAAAAGAACACAAGAGUGAAAAAUCAAAAGGACUGAAAAUAAGACUGUGACACGAAGAAAAUGGACUCUGGUUUAUGAGCAAUCUGAGAAGCUCUCCUUCCCUAUAAUUUUCUGACCAUAUAGUUUCAAGAAAUUUGUUCCAGUGGAUGUGAUAUAGAUGAUUUGAAUAAAAUAAAAAUAGCUCUGCUGACUUUGGGCUUC